rnacentral:tRNA from 1 species
GCGGGUAUAGUAUAGUGGCUAUUAUGUCAGCCUUCCAAGCUGAAGAGGUGGGUUCGAUUCCCAUUACCCGCUCCA